UCCGUAGGUGAACCUGCGGAAGGAUUAUUGUCGAGACCCGAAUGGACGAUCGCGAACCCGUAAACGCUCCUGCAUGGGUGGAGGGAUGGCGGAUAUUCCAACCACUCGACCUCGUACCUCUGGGCACCAUGGCCGCCCCCGUCCCGCAUCGCUACCAGACGGGCGGCGGGAACAACACCUGGGGUGGUGGGCGCCAAGGAACAGUGCUGUUGGAGAGGGUCCUGUGCCAGGCUCGGCGCGCACCAUAAUCUUUCCAUUCGUCAAACCUUUACGACUCUCGACAACAGAUAUCUUGGCUCUCGCAUUGAUGAAGAACAUAGCGAAAUGCAUACUUGGUGUGAAUUGCAGAAUCCCGUGAACUGAGUUUUUGAAUGCAAUUUGCGCCCGGGGCUAUCCGGUCGAGGGCACGCCUGCCUGGGCGUCACGCCUUACAUCUCUCUGUGCAUCCCGUACCCCAUCCCGGGGAGGCGGCGGGUGUCUAUGCGGAGUUGGCCCCCCGAGUCUGACGGCACUGCGUGUCGAAGUGCGUACCGCCGGUCGGGACGGCCGCGGCGAGUGGAGGACAGACAUGUAUGGCGCUGAACGUCGCCUCCGCCCCCCGAUCACGGUGGUACAUGGAAGGAACCCACGCCAAGCAUCCCUCUGAACACAACCCCAUGUCAUGCAGGACCACGCGCUGAGCUUAAGCAUAUCAAUAAGCGGAG
rnacentral:rRNA from 1 species